rnacentral:rRNA from 1 species
AUUGAACGCUGGCGGCAGGCCUAACACAUGCAAGUCGAGCGGAUGAAGGGAGCUUGCUCCUGGAUUCAGCGGCGGACGGGUGAGUAAUGCCUAGGAAUCUGCCUGGUAGUGUGGGAUAACGUCCGGAAACGGGCGCUAAUACCGCAUACGUCCUGUGGGAGAAAGUGGGGGAUCUUCGGACCUCACGCUAUCAGAUGAGCCUAGGUCGGAUUAGCUAGUUGGUGGGGUAAAGGCCUACCAAGGCGACGAUCCGUAACUGGUCUGAGAGGAUGAUCAGUCACACUGGAACUGAGACACGGUCCAGACUCCUACGGGAGGCAGCAGUGGGGAAUAUUGGACAAUGGGCGAAAGCCUGAUCCAGCCAUGCCGCGUGUGUGGAGAAGGUCUUCGGAUUGUAAAGCACUUUAAGUUGGGAGGAAGGGCAGUAAGUUAAUACCUUGCUGUUUUGACGUUACCAACAGAAUAAGCACCGGCUAACUUCGUG